UACUUUAAUAGAUAAGUCUAUUUCGUUAGUUGUGUUGGGUGUAUGUUGUCCAUUCAGUUGGGUGUAUCUUGUGCAUUCAUUCGGGUGUAUUAAUGAUUUGUUUUGGUAUUUAAGGGAUAUGUAUUUUCAAGAUUGAGAGCAUAUGCCGGCGGGGAACCUCUGCAGAAAGAUGAGAAGGAGAAGGAAAUUAAAGCAUCAUAUGUUAAAAUAUCAGGCCAAAAAACAAGCUAUGACUGCGCUAUCUACGUUAUGAAGUGGCUUGAGUUAAUUGAGCCG